rnacentral:rRNA from 1 species
GACGAACGCUGGCGGCGUGCUUAACACAUGCAAGUCGAACGAAGAGCGAUGGAAGCUUGCUUCUAUCAAUCUUAGUGGCGAACGGGUGAGUAACGCGUAAUCAACCUGCCCUUCAGAGGGGGACAACAGUUGGAAACGACUGCUAAUACCGCAUACGAUCUAAUCUCGGCAUCGAGGAUAGAUGAAAGGUGGCCUCUACAUGUAAGCUACCACUGAAGGAGGGGAUUGCGUCUGAUUAGCUAGUUGGAGGGGUAACGGCCCACCAAGGCGAUGAUCAGUAGCCGGUCUGAGAGGAUGAACGGCCACAUUGGGACUGAGACACGGCCCAGACUCCUACGGGAGGCAGCAGUGGGGAAUCUUCCGCAAUGGACGAAAGUCUGACGGAGCAACGCCGCGUGAGUGAUGACGGCCUUCGGGUUGUAAAGCUCUGUUAAUCGGGACGAAAGGCCUUCUUGCGAAUAGUGAGAAGGAUUGACGGUACCGGAAGAGAAAGCCACGGCUAACUACGUG